rnacentral:tRNA from 1 species
AAGAUUAUAGUUAAUUAUAACAUUUGAUUUGCACUCAAAAAGUAUUGUACCCCAAUUUUUCUUA